rnacentral:misc_RNA from 1 species
GAAAUGCGAUAAGUAGUGUGAAUUGCAGAAUUCAGUGAAUCAUCGAAUCUUUGAACGCACAUUGCGCCCCUUGGUAUUCCAUGGGGCAUGCCUGUUCGAGCGUCAUUUGUACCCUCAAGCUCUGCUUGGUGUUGGGUGUUUGUCCCCGUCUCCGCGCGUGGACUCGCCCCAAAGUGAUUGGCAGCCGGCGUACUGGUCCCGGAGCGCAGCACAUGUCGCGCAAACGAGUGCCUUGGUACGGCGGCGUCCAUAAGCCCCUCUCUCACGCUCUUGACCUCGGAUCUGGUAGGGAUACCCGCUGAACUUAAGC